AAUCAGAGAUUGCAGGAAAGAAUUAAGUACAUGAAAACGAUCGGCUGAUAUGAAUUCUAACCUGAGAAUCUCUAGGCUUCAGGUUGAUUUUGAUGCAGCUAUGUCCAGUAGCAAUCCAGAUCCUCACUAUCUUCAGUCGCUCAAGUUCCAAUUAGUUGAAGCUUAUGCUGAUGAAGUUAGUUUUUGGAAGCAAAAGAGUAGAGAUCAAUGGUAUGCUCUAGGCGACAGAAACUCCAAAAAUUUUCAUGCGUCAGUGAAAACUAGCAGAAACAAAAACUUUAUAGAAAAGCUCCAAGACGUCCAUGGGAACUUGGUAAGAGGUGAGGCAUCUAAAGGGGAAGUGGCGGUGAAGUAUUUUAUGGAUCUGUUUAAAUCAUCGAGACCUAUGGGAUUGGAUCCUCUCUUCAGUGGGAUGGUUCCUAGAGUGACUGAUAAGAUGAAUGAGGAACUUUCUAGAGUGGUGUCUAAAGAUGAAAUCAGGCAGGCAGUUUUCUCUAUCAAACCUAGCAGUGCUCCUGGUGCUGAUGGAAUGACGGAGUUGUUUUUUCAACGUUAUUGGGAUAUUGUGGAGCCGAGAGUGGUUUUAGAAGUUCAAAGUUUUUUCAUCUCUGCCUCCUUUCCUAAACAAUGGAACUUCACUCAAAUCUGUUUACUUCCAAAGAAGCUGCAUUCUCUGUUGAUGACUGAUCUUCGGCCUAUAAGCCUAUGCUCGGUUCUCUACAAGAUAGUUUCAAAGGUUUUGGUUGCGAGGCUUCAACCUUUCCUCCACGAGCUGGUUUCUCCAAAUCAGUCAUCAUUUGUGGAAAACAGAUUGAUUUCUGAUAACAUUUUAAUAGCCCAUGAAGCUGUACACGCCUUAAGGACUCACUCGGUUGUGUCUAAAGAGUUCUUUGCUGUUAAAACCGACAUGUCAAAGGCGUAUGACAGAGUCGAAUGGGGAUAUGUGGAAGCUUUGCUGAAGGCCUUGGGUUUUGAUGCGAAAUGGAUUAAACUGGUGAUGCAUUGCAUCUCCACUGUCACCUAUUCAGUUCUGAUUAAUGGUCAGCCUUUUGGUUUGAUAUCACCUGAGAGAGGUCUGAGACAGAGUGAUCCCUUAUCGCCUUUUCUGUUUGUCCUAUGUACAGAAGGUUUAACUCACCUAAUGAAUCAAGCAGAAGAAAGAAAUAUAAUAGAAGGUCUCCGUUUUGCUAUCGACGGACCUUCGAUUCAUCACUUGCUGUUUGCGGAUGACAGUUUGUUUCAGAUCAAAGCUUUAGAGUCUCAAUGUGAUCAGCUGCAACUCAUUUUGGAUUACUAUGGAAGCUUGAUAGGGCAAGUGAUUAAUCUAUCCAAGUCUUCCAUUUCUUUUGGAGUGAAAGUAAAGGAGGAAGUCAAGAAGAGAAUCAGGCUCAGGUUAGGCAUUUUUAACGAAGGAGGAGCCAGUUCGUAUUUGGGUCUUCCUGAGUGUUUUUAUGGUUCGAAGAUUGAUAUGUUGAAUUUUAUCAAGGACAAAAUGAAGGAAAAAUUCUCAGGGUGCUACUCAAGAACCCUUUCACAAGGAGGUAAAGAAGUUUUGAUAAAAUCUGUAGCCAUGGGUGCACCGGUGUUCGCUAUGAGUUGUUUUAAAUUCUCAAAAACCACCUGUGAUAAUUUAUCUAGUGCUAUGGCUGCUUUUUGGUGGAGUUAUGUUGAAGACAAGAGAAAGAUUCACUGGGUGAGUUGGGAGAAACUUUGUUUACCCAAGAAUCUUGGUGGUAUGGGGUUUAAGAACUUGCAGUUAUUUAAUCAGGCCCUUUUGGCCAAGCAGGUGUGGUACUUAAUGAUCAGGACUGUCUGUAUGCGAGAUUCAUGAGGAGUCGGUAUUUUCAGAAUAGAGAUUUUGAUCAAGCUAUUAUGGGCUCUAGACCUUCCUAUGGUUGGAGAAGCUUAAUGUUUGGAAAACAACUGCUAGACAAAGGUUUGAAGUGGAUGAUAGGUAAUGGUGAAGAGAUUUUGGUUUGGGUGACUCCAUGGAUUGAUGAUGGGGUUUGAAUGAGAUGUCCCUUAAUGAAAAACAUUUUCAUUGAUCUGGAUUUGAAGGUAUCAGCACUGAUUGAGUUCCAAUCUGAUACAUGGAACGUGAUGAUGCUAAACGACUUGUUCUAUCCUCAAGAUGUGGAACUAAUACUGAAGAUGAAAAUAACGCCAGGUUCUAAAGAUUUCAAGGUAUGGAAGUACAACUCUAGUGGAGCUUAUACAUCAAAGUCUGGGUAUUGGUUAGCCUCAAAAUUAGAGAAUUCUGAAGUAAAAAGUUUGGCUGAAGCUUUACCUUCCAUUAAUCCUUUGAAGAUUUUGGUUUGGGAUCUUCUGAUCUCUUCUAAGCUUAGAAUCUUCAUGUGAAAAAUAAUGUGUAACGCUUUACCGGUUGCUGAUGGUAUAGCUGCUAGAGGUAUGAUGGUAGACAAUAGAUGUCAGUUUUGUGGAAUGGAUGGUGAAACGGAAAAUCAUUUGUUUUUUAUUUGUCCUCAUGCGAGAUUUGUUUGGGCAGUGUCUGAUUUUCUGGUGCCAAGAGUGGGCUUCAGUUCUUCCAUUUUUCAGAAUAUUCAUCUCCUUCUUCAAGGAAAAAAAAAUUUCAACAUUCCUACAGAUUUGAGGAAAGUCUUUCCUUGGUUGCUGUGGAGGAUUUGGAAAAAUAGGAAUGGCCUCAUUUUCGAAGGAAUGGAGUUUGAAGCUCUGUCAUUAGUGAGAAAAGCGUUUGAUGAUAUGAAUGAAUGGGCACAAGCUCAAGUAGUGGAAGCCAUCAAUUCUUCGUCUCCAUCUGUUGGCCCAUAUAUAAGUCAAGUUGAAUGGUCUCCACCGCCUGUCUUGUGGAGGAAAUGUGAUAUUGGAGUUGAGUGGGAUAAAAGCAAAAAAGUGUACGGUGCUGCUUGGUUACUAAGAGAUGAUAAAGGUAUGGUUCUUAUGCAUAGCAGAUGCUCCUUUUCUAAUAUCCCAUCUUUAAAGGAGGCUCACAGAUCAGUAUGGGUUCGGGCUAUUGAAAGUAUGAGAAGUUUAGGUUUCUCUAAGAUUGUUUUUGCUGGUGAAUCCAAAGAACUGGUUGGAGCUGUAAUUAGGCCUCCUGCUUGGCCUUCUUUUAAGUGGUUGUCCAAAGCUAUUAUGUCCUCGCUUCAGUAUAUUCCUGAAUGGAAAUUGGAGAGAGUCGAUCGGAAGCUGAUAUGGGGUGCUUAUUGCAUAGUGCAAAGUGUACUGGUUUGGGAUCUUUUUCAAUCGUAUGUGGCCAUUGGCUUCCCUUCUUGGUUAGGUGAUCUUUUUGGUGAAGGUUAGGGAAGUUGCUUGUUUUUUUCUGUUGCAUGUGAUUGCUCUAGAUUUUAAUUUUUGGUUUUUAGUUUGUAAUCCUUGUUGUAUCAGACUGUGUUUCAAAGUUAUAGUAUAACGAAAAAGUUUCAGUGGAAAAAAAAAAACAAGAAUUUUUAAACCAAACUCAUCUAGCACUUGCCAAUUUUUUUAAAAAAUUAGACUAUGAGAGCUACUAGCAUUGGAGUGGAUGGGGUUCAAAUAAAAAGAAAGCAAACUUAAGAGAGAAAUUUGUAAAGAAUAAAAUAAUACAAGGGCACUUUGCGGAGGUUCGCCGUCUCAUCCAUGAAAUCUAAUCAAAACCUAUCCUCUUCCCCUGUCUGAGAGAGUCAGUCUUCGCUCAAUCACUGUCUCUUGAGGGUCCUCCGAAUCAAUGUCCACACAUAACAUUUUCGAGACAUAACACGAUCCCAACGACCCACCAAAAAAAGAUUGAAUUUUGAAACCAAAGUCGAAGACUUUGAGCGAUCAGAACAAAAGAUGCUCAAGAGCGAGCCAUCUCUCUCAAUCUACUGCGAAUCUGGGCUCAAUCCAGAAGACACGGCGACUGGAACCGAUGAGAAUUUGGAUAGAACGGUCUCGAUUGGCGACUCGGUUGAAGCCGACUUCAGCUUUGCUAAGCACAGCAGCAGCAGCAUCGAUGCCUUGUCGAUCAAGGAAGAGGAUGAGAUUGAGCGACCACCGAGUCCUCCUAUGCAUUUAGCUGCAGGGCUUGGGAUUGACAAGUUCGAUCUGUAUGGUGGUGAGAUCAAAUUCGAUUUGCCGAGUUUGGAUGAUGAGAGGUGUGGUGAUUACUACAAGAGGAUGCUCGAGGAGUAUCCGUUGCAUCCUUUGCUUCUCAGAAACUAUGCUAACUUCUUGGAGUACAAAGGAGAUUUUAGUGGAGCAGAAGAGUAUUAUCACAAGUGUACUGUGGUUGAGCCUAGUGAUGGGGUAGCUUUAGCUAACUAUGGUAGAUUGGUGAUGAAGCUUCACCAGGAUGAAGCUAAAGCGUUGAGCUACUUUGAACGCGCUGUUCAAGCAUCUCCUGAGGAUAGGUUCUGUUGUAACAUUCACAAUUGGUUAUUUACUCAACCUUAGUGUGUGUGUUUUUCUUCUUGUUUUUUUCAGCAAUGUUCUUGGAGCAUAUGCUAGUUUUCUCUGGGAGAUAAAUGAUGAGGAUGACGAUGAGGUUGAUGACGACGCUUUUGGAGACAGAACUCGCCAAGGAAAAGAAGACUUUGAGCCUGAGGCAGGG